rnacentral:tRNA from 1 species
UGUCUGGAAGCGAAGUACGCAUCAAGUUUCGACCUUGUCUCUGGUUAUAACAACCCCAGACA